AAUUGCGAUACCCGUUGAUCCUGCGGGAGAUUACUGCUAUUAGGGUUCCACUUAACCAUGCAAGUCAAGGGGACUCUUCGGAGUCACCGGCGGAAUGCUCAGUAACACGUCGAUAAUCUACCCUAAGGUCUAGAAUAACCAUGGGAAACUGUGGCUAAUACUGGAUAGAAAAUUGAUACUGGAAUGUACUUUUUUUGAAAGUUACGACGCCUUAGGAUGGGUCGGCGGCUGAUUAGCUAGUUGGUGAG
rnacentral:rRNA from 1 species